rnacentral:tRNA from 1 species
GCGGGCGUGGUGAAACUGGUAGACACGCCAGAUUUAGGUUCUGGUGACGAAAGUCAUGGGGGUUCAAGUCCCUCCGCCCGCACCA